rnacentral:rRNA from 1 species
ACCAGACUCCUACGGGAGGCAGCAGUGGGGAAUAUUGGGCAAUGGGCGAAGGCCUGACCCAGCAACGCCGCGUGAAGGAAGAAGGCUUUCGGGUUGUAAACUUCUUUUGACAGGGAAGAGCAGAAGACGGUACCUGUCGAAUAAGCCACGGCUAACUACGUGCCAGCAGCCGCGGUAAUACGUAGGUGGCAAGCGUUAUCCGGAUUUACUGGGUGUAAAGGGCGUGUAGGCGGGAGUGCAAGUCAGAUGUGAAAACUAUGGGCUCAACCCAUAGCCUGCAUUUGAAACUGUACUUCUUGAGUACUGGAGAGGCAGACGGAAUUCCUAGUGUAGCGGUGAAAUGCGUAGAUAUUAGGAGGAGCACCAGUGGCGAAGGCGGUCUGCUGGACAGCAACUGACGCUGAGGCGCGAAAGCGUGGGUAGCAAACAGGAUUAGAUACCCGCGUA